rnacentral:rRNA from 1 species
AGUGAACGCUGGCGGUAGGCCUAACACAUGCGAGUCGAACGGCAGCACAGUAAGAGCUUGCUCUUACGGGUGGCGAGUGGCGGACGGGUGAGGAAUACAUCGGAAUCUACUUUUUCGGGGGGGAUAACGUAGGGAAACUUACGCUAAUGCCGCAUACGACCUACGGGUGAAAGCAGGGGAUCUUCGGACCUUGCGCGAUUGAAUGAGCCGAUGUCGGAUUAGCUAGUUGGCGGGGUAAAGGCCCACCAAGGCGACGGUCCGUAGCUGGUCUGAGAGGAUGAUCAGCCACACUGGAACUGAGACACGGUCCAGACUCCUACGGGAGGCAGCAGUGGGGAAUAUUGGACAAUGGGCGCAAGCCUGAUCCAGCCAUACCGCGUGGGUGAAGAAGGCCUUCGGGUUGUAAAGCCCUUUUGUUGGGAAAGAAAAGCAGCAGGUUAAUACCCCGCUGUUCUGACGGUACCCAAAGAAUAAGCACCGGCUAACUUCGUG